UAGAAGGCUGACCCCUUCACAGAAUUCAUGG
rnacentral:piRNA from 1 species